AUGAACGCUGGCGGCGUGCCUCAUACAUGCCAGUCGCGCGAACAGAUAAGGAGCUUGCUCCUUUGACGUUAGCGGCGGACGGGUGAGUAACACGUGGGUAACCUAUCUAUAAGACUGGAAUAACUCCGGGAAACCGGGGCUAAUGCCGGAUAACAUGUUGAACCGCAUGGUUCUACAGUGAAAGGCGGCUUUGCUGUCACUUAUAGAUGGACCCGCGCCGUAUUAGCUAGUUGGUGAGGUAACGGCUCACCAAGGCAACGAUACGUAGCCGACCUGAGAGGGUGAUCGGCCACACUGGAACUGAGACACGGUCCAGACUCCUACGGGAGGCAGCAGUAGGGAAUCUUCCGCAAUGGGCGAAAGCCUGACGGAGCAACGCCGCGUGAGUGAUGAAGGUCUUCGGAUCGUAAAACUCUGUUAUUAGGGAAGAACAAAUGCGUAAGUAACUGUGCGCGUCUUGACGGUACCUAAUCAGAAAGCCACGGCUAACUACGUG
rnacentral:rRNA from 1 species